UACCAGCUCUUCGAGUGGUGUGGAUGUUUAUUGGGCCUAAAGCAUCCGUAGCUGGCUGGGCAAGUCCCCUGUUAAAUCCACCGAUUUAAUCGUUGGAGUGCGGGGGAUACUGUUCGGCUAGGGGACGGGAGAGGCAGACGGUAUUUUCAGGGUAGGGGUGAAAUCCUAUAAUCCCGGGAAGACCACCAGUGGCGAAGGCUGUCUGCUAGAACGCGCCCGACGGUGAGGGAUGAAAGCUGGGGGAGCGAACCGGAUUAGAUACCCGGGUAGUCCCAGCUGUAAACGAUGCAGGCUAGGUGUUUGGGCGGCCACGUGCCGCUCUAGUGCCGCAGGGAAGCCGUUAAGCCUGCCGCCUGGGGAGUACGGCCGCAAGGCUGAAACUUAAAGGAAUUGGCGGGGAGCACCACAAGGGGUGAAGCUUGCGGUUU
rnacentral:rRNA from 1 species